GCAGUGGGCCAGACGAUCGCCGCGCCGUAGCCUCGCCAUAGCCUUCGGGCGAAGGCAGGCGAAGGCGGGGAGGAAAGUCCGAACUCCGCAGGGCAGUGCGCCGGGUAACGCCCGGUCGGGGCAACUCGAAGGAAAGUGGCACAGAAAACACACAGCCGAUGUCGGUGAAAACCGGCAGGCAAUGGUGAAAAGGUGCGGUAAGAGCGCACCGCGCCGGUGGCAACAUCGGUGGCAGGCAAAACCCCGCACGGAGCAAGGCCAAAUAGGGAGACACGGAGCUCGGCGUGGGGAACCACGUCGGGCACCAGGGGAUGGUCCGUCCCUCGUUUCCGGGUAGGCCGCUUGAUCCCGUCAGUGAUGGCGGGGCUAGAGGAAUGAUUGUCGUCGUGCCGGAGCUCGCCGACGUCCCGCCGAAGUCCAUAGGGCGGAGGCGGACGGGAGCGAGUGAAGGCGCGGAACAGAAUUCGGCUUACGACCCGCUGCGGCG
rnacentral:RNase_P_RNA from 1 species